CAGCCGCCACGGUAAAACGAGGGGUGCAAGCGUUAUUCGGAUUGAUUGGUGUAAAGGGUGUGCAGACGGCUUAUUAAGUCACUUGUUAAAUUCUUCGGCCUAACUGAAGGUCUGCAAGUGAUACUGAUGAGCUAGAGGGUGGAAGAGAGAAGUGGAAUUCUCGGAGUAGCGGUAAAAUGCGUAGAUCUCGAGAGGAACACCAAUGGCGAAGGCAGCUUCUUGGUCCAUUCCUGACGUUCAUACACGAAAGCGUGGGGAGCAAACAGGAUUAGAUACCCCGGUAGUCCCUGUCUCUUAUACA
rnacentral:rRNA from 1 species